rnacentral:SRP_RNA from 1 species
GCUGGGCCUUGUAACGGGGACCUGUAACUCGAGUGAGAGCUUUAAGUUGGUUGGAGUUUGGCUUUGUCCAGACGGUCGGGCUCUGCUGAGAUAUGUACAGGCUUGCCCAUUCCAAGUAUGGAGUUGUGCCUUGGCCACUGAGUGAAGACUCGGGGGUCAGGGUCACUAAAGUGGAAGGCACAGCGCUAGGCUGGCUUCACAGAGCAGCGAUCACUUCCCUCUCUUGUCGGUGGAAGGAUAACAAGCUUGUUCUUGGCAAGUCCAAUUAACACCCGAUGGACCACUCAAACCAACAACCAUCUUU